rnacentral:rRNA from 1 species
CACGUAGGGCGCAAGCGUUGUCCGGAAUUAUUGGGCGUAAAGAGCUCGUAGGUGGUUUGUUACGUCUGCUGUGAAAUCCUAGGGCUUAACCCUGGGCUUGCAGUGGAUACGGGCAGACUAGAGGUAGGUAGGGGAGAAUGGGAAUUCCUGGUGUAGCGGUGAAAUGCGCAGAUAUCAGGAGGAACACCGGUGGCGAAGGCGGUUCUCUGGGGCCUUACCUGACACUGAGGAGCGAAAGCGUGGGGAGCGAACAGG